GACCGGCCGGCGGAGGAUGGAGGGAUGGAGCCUCCCCGAGCGCCGGCCGGCGGUUCCCACGCCCCCGACGACCGCGGAGGGCGGGGCCGUCCCCAGUCCACAGCCCCCGCACUUCAGAGGAAUCCCUACGGCAUCCCCGACGUCCUGCACAGCAGAGGGCCGCAGGGGUAGCGGGGCCACGCACCGGGCCAAGGAGGAGGGCGCCGGGCACCGGCUGCUGAACAUGCUGAGAAGAACUCUGAAAGGGACUGAAAGUAAAGAACUGGAAAUAACACCUGAAGUGCCAACUUUGGUACCAUUUGGGGGUGUGGUUGGCUGCCUUGCUAUUCAUGUAAAGAACUGCAGACAUUUCACGCCUAAGAUUGCUUUACAACAUUACAGUAAUUUGUUCAUUCGCAUCUCUAUUAACAACAUUGUGAAAUGUACAAAAAUGUGUAGCCUGCCAUCCCAAAACAAUGAAAAGAACGCUGUAAUUAAUUUUGAUGACGUAAAGUAUUUUUCUGUACAGGUUCCCAGGCGUCAAGAUGAUGUGCGGAAUAAUAUUUUCUUGGAACUAAUGCAAUAUGACAAAAUAGAAAAAUACCCUCUCUUGUUAGGGAGUAUUCAGGUACACCUUUAUGAAGUAAUUCAGAAAGGGCGUUUUAUUGAAGAAUUUCACAUGUUGCAUAAAAACACAUUUAUCUGUAAGGUGGAGGUGGAAUUUAUGUUCUCCUAUGGAAACUUUGGUUAUGGAUUUUCACAUCAGUUAAAACCUCUUCAGAAAAUUAUUGAGCCAUCCAUGUUUAUGAAUAUUGCACCACCUCCAGAGAGAAUAGAUCCUGUGAUAAAUGUUAUUACACCACAACCAAUAGAAUAUCCAGCAUUCCUAUCCCCAGACCUGAAUGUUACCAUUGGGAUGCCACCUGCAGUGUCCCAAUCCAACCAGCCACCUGUAGUGCGACUUGAGAAACUUCAGCAACAACCUCGGGAAAGGCUGGAAAAAAUGAAAAAAGAAUACAGAAAUCUGAAUACAUGGAUGGAAAAAGCUAGCUAUUUAGAAGGGCUUCUUACCCCAAAAUUUGCCCAUAAAGAACGUAAGGGAAGUGAUACCAGUGAGUUACUUGCAAGCCUAUUUGAAAAGAAGCCUGAAAAUGGUGUAACAUCAGAUGAGAAAGCUGAAAUCAGACAGAUUAACCACUCAGAAGUCACACAGCCAUUAACUGAUGUACCUUUUAUAAAAGAGGAAGCUGAAACUGUUCCAAGUGAGUUGCCAGAUAAUGAUGAUAAGAAAGACUUGAUUCUCCCACCUUUGAACGAGUCAAAUCAAGAUAAUUCAGAUGCUGUUGCUAUUGCUCCUGAAAGUGAUGAAUCAACAAAGCAAACAGAUGAGUCAACAAAGCAAACAGAUGAGUCAACAAAGCAAACUCCAUUGCCUGUUGUUCCAGUCCUGACAAUAACGGAGGAGAACAAAACAUUACCUUUAGAGGAAUACCAAUCAAAAGCUCCACCAGAGGGAAAAAUGAAAAAUAUGUUCCCUCCACCAGAAGUAAAAUUGAAAGAUAGAUAUCCAAGCCUUUUAAAAACAGACUCAUCUCCAUCAGAGAGUACCUUUUGUUCCAUUAGCCCCAAGAAUGGAAAUGGAAAUUGUCCUAAUACUGUAGAUAGGGUAAUGCAAAGUCAGUUUUGUGGACAAAAAAAUACAAAUAAAAAAGGAAAAUCAGUGAUUUUUUCACCAGUGGAAUACACUUUACCAUCUUUCAGACCAGAAUUUAUAGAAUUCAAACCAAAGUAUCUGUUCCAGGAAUUCAACUCUAAGAAUGGUUUUGAUCCUUUUCUAAGGAAUAUAAACCACAAAAUGUCAGUCGGAAAAAGGAAAGAGCAAGAUAUGUACAAAUGUAGAAAUAUUUUAAGUGCAGAGGUUAUAGAGCAUGAAGACCAAGAUCCUCCUUACCCAACAUAUUCAAAAACUGCAAGACCUACUAAUAAAACCUGGCCUCAUGAUCCUGGCAUCACCACAGCAAAGACUUUAGACACAAAGACUAAGCUAAAGUUAGCCCAUGAUCCCGAUUUCAUCACAAUAAAGACUUUAGACACUAAGAAAAAGUUAAAAGAAAGACUACCAAAUGUAUCUCUACCUAAUUUUGAAGGAGAAUCAUCAAUGACUGGAAAUGUAAAUACACGUCGCUUCUCAAAAUCAUUAAAUCUUACUUCUCACCUAGAAAGUUUAAAACAAUCAAUUAUGCUCAAGUCAAUUUUAAGUAAAAAUCUGCAAGACCUUUCAGAUAAAUUAUUUUCUAAACCAGAGUCUUCUGUGGACACUGAAGCAAGAAAGGAAAGUCGUAGUUCUCCACUUCCGAGUGUUUAUGAUGAGCCACCAAGUAGUUUGGAAAACAAAGUAUUUGAAAAAGUUAAAGAUUUAAAUAGCUGGGUUUCAGAAAAAGAUAUUUUAAGUUCAAAGUCUCUUUUAAGACAAAUAAUUAAAGAUAUUCCUGCAGAUUCACUUUCAGAAGGUGGACCAAGAAAUUCUCCAGUGGUAGAAAGGGCAGUUGUCUCUGAAAAACACUUGGAAGCUGGUGAGAUUGAUUUUCCAAUAAAAAAUGAUUUCAAAAAGAAUCAUUCAAAAAUUGAACUGUCUAGCUCUAAACCAGAUGUAAGUGACAGUGCACAUAAUUAUGUUAUAAAGCAAAUAUUCACUGCACCUGUCUUCUCAGAGUUGGAAGUGGGAGUGAAAGAAUUAAGUGAGACAUCAGUAAAUUUGCAGAAUCAAUUACCCACAGCUUGGGAGAGUAUAUCUUCAAAUAUUCUACUUCAAUAUGAAGAAAACAAUGAUGAAAUAGAAUUGCCACAGGCCAAAUCUGUUAUAAGCCAGAUAAUACAAGCAUUUCCUAUAGAUAGACUUUUGGAAUCUGGGAUAAUCAAAGUGAUAGAAUUAGAUAAAGAAUAUCAGAAGAGAUCUGUGAUGGCUUCAGAGACCGUCUUUGCUGGAGAAGAGCCAAAGUAUUCCACAGAGGAUUAUUUGGAAACCCAAAGCAGUACAGAACCUCUUUCAGAGCAGAAUACACUCAUCAUUCCCAAAGAAACCACUUCUUUGAAUAGAGUUGAAUAUGUGGAUGAAGGUCAAAAUUUAUCCCUACAACAUUCAAAAUAUCCGUCAGCACCAGAUAAAAAAACAGAUAUGCCAAAUAAUAGUCAGAGGUUUGAUAGAGAAGAAAAUGAUCUAAAUUCUACUUUAGAAAAUUUAACUAACUCAUUAAUGGGUAAACUUAAUGAUUCAGAUGUAAUAAUGUUAAAAUCCUUCUUAAAACAUGUGUUUAAUAUUUUUUUCAAAUAUAAUCAGUUUGAUAGAAGACAACCAGAAAAAGAAUUAGAAAGACUAAUUCAGCAUCCUGUUCCAAAUAAUACAGAAGACCUUGAAGAAAUCAAAGAGAAUUUUGAUAAAGCAGAUAAAUUAGACAGAAAACCUAUUUUGAGUCCAAAACUGCGUAUAUUUCUAGAAGAACUCUCAGAGUCAGAAAUAAAAAAUUUAAAAUCUGAACUAAGUAAACAUAUCCAACAUUACCUUGUAGAAAGACUUUCAGAAUCUGGACACAUCACCAAAGAAGACUUACCAAAAAUCUAUCAAAAUCUGUAUUUGAUGAAUGAGAAAGUGGAGCCAAAAGGGCAAAAUAUUUUUCUGGAAAAAUAUUCAGAAACUGUAAAAGAAAUCAUGUCUUUUGUAAAUAAUUUUAAUCAUCAUUUCAUAGAUAAACAUUUGGAAAUAAAGCUAAGAUCUUUUUUAAAUGAAAUUCUCCAAAACUAUUUCCUAAAAAACCUUUCUGAAAGCAGUUUAUUUAAAGAGACAGAAUCUGAGACUGUCCACUCAAACAUGUCUUCUCUAAGAACUAAAAGUGCCUCCAUAUCUUUUCAUGAGUUAAGACAAGACAUUUCAAGGGGGAGUUUUGGGAAAAGACUUGACUUAAAGAUGAAAUAUCCUUUAAAUAAAUCUCUACAAAACUAUCUUAUAACUUUAACAGAAAAUGAACUUUUAAAUCUAAAAGCCAAUUUAAGCAAACACCUCCAGAGCCUUUUUAUAGAAAAACUUUCAAAGUCAGGACUACUCACAGAAAGACAAUUAGAGGGGAUCAACCAACAUAUAAAUUUGAUCAAUUCUAGUACUAUACCAUUAAAAUGUAUAAAGCCAGAUUUAUCUUUUAGAAAUGAAAAUCAACUUAUGGAAGAGAAUUCAGAAAAGCAAAAUAAAUAUUCAAAAAUUAUUCAAAAAACAACUUUACAAAAAGUUCCUAAAGAUAGACUUACUGAAACGGAACUGACCAAAAAGGAAGAAAGGGAAUAUUUUUCCUUCCAGCAUAUUAAGGAAAAUCCAUCAAUAAUUGAGGAACAGAAAAGAUACUAUCCUGAAGAAGGAGCCCAAACCCUGAGAUUAAUUAAACUACAACCUUCUUUCAUCAAAAAUACCCAAGUGAUUCCCUUAAAUAAGUCAUCAGAAAGACUUACAGAUAUAGUGCUUAAGAAACACAGGAAAGAAUAUGGUUUUAUCCAGCUUCCUCGAGCAGAAAAUUAUGAUUUUAAAACGGAUAUUCAAGACCCACAUAGUUGGAGUGGCAAAUCAAAAACAAGUCAGUCAAAUGUUUGCUUUGAAAGGACACUAAAAACAAAGCCCCUUGAAAAAAAAGAGCAUAAUAUGUGUAAGUUGAUAGCACAGGAAAAACCUGAAGCUGUACUGUCACUUUAUCCAAGAAUUCCUAAUUGCAAAAUGCCAAGUGAAAAUGAAGACUAUGUAUACAAAUACACUUUUCCUUCCAGGCAGAGUAGCACUUUAACUCAUUUCAAUUUAGAGGCUGGGGAGAAAUCAAAGUUAGAAGACCAGUAUAUUCGGAGAUUGAAAGGAAAUAAUAAUAAUAAUAAAAAACAACAUUUAGUAACAUUUGCACAAUACAAAAAAAUACAUACUCUUUCUGUAAGAGAAGAUGGAAUUUGUGAUGAAAAAUAUGCCAAGUUCCCUGAAUCACAGUCUUUAAAAUACAAAAUUGUGGAAGCUCAGAAAAACUCAAAACCAUCCCUCUUCCCAGAAGUAUUAAAGACAGAAAAUCUAAAGCCCAAGGUCCGAAAAGAAAGAGACCGUGUCAACAAACAAAAGAAGUCAUUUAGCAAGAUACUACCAACCACACUGCCCACCACAAGAAUUCUAAGGAAAUCUGUUCCAAGAACAUUGCUUCACUGGACUGCAAGAAGAACUAUACAUGAUUGUUCGGAUAGAUUUGAGGAUAUACCUGUGACCCCAUUUAAGCAUGCUGAACAAGCAAAAUCAAGAACAAAGCUUUUAGGAAAAAGCUCAGAUGAUAGCCAUAAUCAGUUAAAACACUUCACAAGACCGAAUACUGCUCCAGAGGUUAACAAACGGCGAGAGAGCUACAAUGGAAAAUGUACAAGUCCUCGAAUGGUUUCAGCAGGCUUAGUUUUCAGGUAUACAAUAUAGUGAUUCAACAAUUCUAUACAUUACUAAGUGUCCAUCAAGGUAGACUGGUUUCAUCAGUGAUGGAACUAAGAUUAAGAAACCAAAAGGGAGUGUGAGGCAAUCCAAAGAUUAGCAAGAGCAGGAAGUGAUACCAGCCCUCAGAUGGAAGGGGUAGCAAGAGGUGGUGUUACCGGAGUGCCAAAAACAGAAGACAAAGAUGAUGCAGCUGCUGCCAGAGACCCCACCAGAAACAAGGAAGUGGGACAAAAGGUCUUCAUGGCUUGAUGGAGUAACCUAAACAUUCUUGAGGGGAACUGACCAAUAAAUAUGAAAAGGAUCUUGUUGCAAACAGAGCUGUACCAAGCUAAGGAAGGCAGGAGAGAAAGUUUUUGAGGACGGAGUUUGCAACCUGUCACUAUUUCCUGUGCGAGUUCCACUGGAGACAAGUACACUUUCUCCAAUCCCAGAGUCUACACCUGAUCGGGAAUUCUUCAUUCUGGAUUCUGACUGAGGGAAGAUACUAACAUCCAAUGGGCUAUAAGGAGGACCUUUCAGUUUCUGCAACAACAUCUAAAAGAAAGAAAAAUUUCCUUCAACCCAUUUCAGAGAAAGCAUUAAAAACAAAGAUUCUAAGAACAAAGAUGUCUAAAGGAAAUUAUCUAGAAUAUAAGGGAUCUUAUGAAAGAAAAGUAGUUUGGGGAUUUUACUAGGAUUUACCUGAGUCCUGUGCAUGUCCUGGAAAGGUACCUGCCCACUGGCCAAUUCACACGCUGUAAUCCCAACACUGUAAAUAUCUGACUUUACAUUAUAUCCAUGUAAAUCCUGUAGAACAAUUAAUUUGAAUUUCUUUAGUGAAAAUAACAAUAAAAAGUUAUAUACAUGUG